rnacentral:rRNA from 1 species
CAGUCGCCGCGGGAAUGCGUAGGUGGCAAGCGUUGUCCGGAAUUAUUGGGCGUAAAGCGUGCGUAGGUGGUCUACUAAGCGCGAGGUGAAAGGCAAUGGCCCAACCAUUGUUAGCCUUGCGAACUGGCAGACUUGAGUGCAAGAGAGGAAAGCGGAAUUCCUAGUGUAGCGGUGAAAUGCGCAGAUAUUAGGAGGAACACCGGCGGCGAAGGCGGCUUUCUGGACUGUAACUGACACUGAGGCACGAAAGCGUGGGUAGCAAACAGGAUUAGAUACCCCGGUAGUCCCUGUCUCUUAUACA